GAUGAACGCUGGCGGCGUGCCUAAUACAUGCAAGUCGAGCGAACAGACGAGGAGCUUGCUCCUCUGACGUUAGCGGCGGACGGGUGAGUAACACGUGGAUAACCUACCUAUAAGACUGGGAUAACUUCGGGAAACCGGAGCUAAUACCGGAUAAUAUAUUGAACCGCAUGGUUCAAUAGUGAAAGACGGUUUUGCUGUCACUUAUAGAUGGAUCCGCGCCGCAUUAGCUAGUUGGUAAGGUAACGGCUUACCAAGGCAACGAUGCGUAGCCGACCUGAGAGGGUGAUCGGCCACACUGGAACUGAGACACGGUCCAGACUCCUACGGGAGGCAGCAGUAGGGAAUCUUCCGCAAUGGGCGAGAGCCUGACGGAGCAACGCCGCGUGAGUGAUGAAGGUCUUCGGAUCGUAAAACUCUGUUAUUAGGGGAGAACAAAUGUGUAAGUAACUAUGCACGUCUUGACGGUACCUAAUCAGAAAGCCACGGCUAACUACGUG
rnacentral:rRNA from 1 species